UACGUAGGAUCCGAGCGUUUGUCCGGAUUUACUGGGUGUAAAGGGUGCGCAGGCGGACUGGUAAGUCAGUGGUGAAAUCUCGUCGCUUAACGACGAAACUGCCUUUGAUACUAUCAGUCUUGAAUCCGGUAGAGAUCUGUGGAAUUCCGAGUGUAGCAGUGAAAUGUGUAGAUAUUCGGAAGAACACCAGUGGCGAAGGCAGCAGAUUGGGCCGGUAUUGACGCUCAGGCACGAAAGCAUGGGGAUCAAACAGG
rnacentral:rRNA from 1 species